CUGGGACUUUCACAUCGAAACUGGCCCUUCUCCAUGACCUUCAGCACAAAAAAGAAAGGCUAUAGCUGUUACUCGUGCAGCAAAACAGUGACGCAUAAGACUUAAAACUCGAACGGCAUUCAAAGGACAGUGCAAGAAGUACAAGUGGGACCAACAUACAGUUCAAACAUAGAGGACCAAGACGUUGAAGUUACAACUAUACCCCCACCUAUACCCAAGCCUGGUCAAGCAGGGCUAGACACUACUGGGAAGGAAUUUGUUUUCUUUGAUUUGGAAACAAGAGGGUUAGAGCACACUUCUCACAUAAUUCAGAUAGCUGCAGUGCAUUCAACUGGUCAAUUUUCAACAUAUGUGAUGCAUGAGAAGAAGAUUUCCUUGCAAGCGUCAGAAAUAACUGGAGUGACAGUUGUUAGCGACUCUAUGCUUGUCAAGAGACAAACAGUAACAGCUGUCCCCAUCAAAUCUGCAUUGACAAGUUUUAUAACAUUCUUACAGAAAUGUUCACCAAUUAUUUUAGUUGGGCAUAAUAUAGAGUCUUUUGAUUGUAAAGUGUUGCUCCGUGCUAUCCAUACUUGUUGAAAAAUGUUUGAGUUUCAGCAAAAUAUUUGUGGCUUUUUAGAUACUUAAAAAUGUUAAAGGAAAUAUUACCAAAUAUGAAAUCAUAUAAGCGGGAACAUUUAGUUAAAGACGUCAUUGGUGAAUUAUACAUGGCACAUGGCGCUAUACAGGAUAUUUUAGCUUUACAAAAGUUAGUGAACUUUGUUCCUCUUGACCAAAAAUUGUUAACAAAUAUUCAUUCAGCUUUUACCGAGCAGUGUUAACAUACAAUGUGUAACUGAAGGUUGCUUCCAACAUCAAAUCUUUACAAACCAUAAUUGAUACAAAAUUUAUAAGUCAAGGUGUUGCAAGGAAAGUUGCAGGAAGUGGAUUUCAACUUAAACAUUUGAGUCCUGUAUCAAAAAGAAACGGACUGAGUGGUUUGAGGAGCCCCCUGUCAGAGGUUACAAACGGACAAAUCAGAGUAACAAAAUCAAAGAAAAUAAUAUGUACAAUAGCGAGUUAUUUGUUGCCUGACAUCUAACCAAUUGUAAUUUGCAUCUUGUAUAUAGAUAAGCUAUGAAAUCUAAUAGCUGUUACAUAAUUGUUUUUCCUUCUCGAUGACGAACAUAGUUGUGAUUCUUAUGUCAGUUGUAUUUCUCAUGUUUCACCUAAGUUGUAAGAUAUUUUUGGCAGUGCAUUAAACCACGGAUGGUGUGUGAAACAUAAUUGCCCAGCUUAAUGUAUUCUUUGUUGUU